rnacentral:rRNA from 1 species
AUGUCAAAGAAACAUUUCUUUCGUUUUGGGUCUUUCACGAUAAAGGAUGAUGCGGAGAUUUGUUUCUGGGAAGACAUCUGGAUAGGCAAUGGCGGCCUCAGUGAGCAGUAUCCAGCCUCAUAUAACAUUGCUCGCAAAAAGAAUAAUAUUAUUGCGUAUGUGCUCAGUUCUUCUCAAUCGAAUAUUUUGUUUAGGUGGGAUUUCAUUGGCCCUCGACUUGUGUCAUGGCAUAAUCUUUUAUCCCGACUGAAUUCGAUUAACCUGAUACAAGGCCGUGAUGUGUUUCGCUGGAACCUUACUACAUCAGGGUCUUUUAGAGUAUACUCUAUGUACUCCCUCCUUCCAUCUAUAUAG